UUCGCUGACUGACAUCAACUCGGUAAUGUGCGAUGUUAUUAUGCGUUCGCAGCAGGCGAAACGCCACUUUGUUGCUCACUCUCUCGCUAAUGGCUCGCAUCUCCUAAUUGAGCGCAACCCUUUGCCAGUCGCGCCGAGAUUCAAAGCGAGGUUCAUUCCGGAACAAAUAAACAAUUAAAAGGAACGACAAAAAGAGACUUCAUUUGCCAGCAGUUGGACAGAAUUACGUCAGUUAACGUGCCCGUCCAAUUCAACAAAAGCGGAAUCCAAUACCAUGGAAUACGCCAUCAAAAGCCAUUGUUGACUGCAUCUAAAAUGUGUCCGUACGUGUAUCGAGUUUCGGCCGGCGGUAGACUAGACAUACGCGCGCAGACUGGAAAUCUGAGACUGGCAGAGUCAUUUACGUGUGUGUAUGCAUGUAAUCGGACGUGUUGGCGACGAGGUAGUUAAAAUUUAACGCGCCUCCCAUUUGCAGCAGAGCUGGAAGCGAUCAAAGCGGGUGGCAAACAAAUGGACAGCACUUUCGUCUGCAUGCAAAUGAGAUUUCGCUGCCAAACUGAAAUCAAUUCAAUUACGCGCCGGGCGGAGAUGUACGUUCUCGUGCAGCAGCGCAAACACACACGCGCGCCCAUUAAACCAGCUAAAUUAGACAAUUAACAUUUACGACGGACAUUAAUAAACGGACGAAAUGCACUCUCUCGCUAUAUUCACGGCGCAUCUAUCUUAAUUAUUUGCAUGAUUUACA